CAAACCAACCCGACAUUAUAUAUGUAAUUUUAAAAUUUUAUUUUAUACAUAAAAAUGUUUAUUAAUAUAUAAUUUAUAUAUUUUUCUUAAUCUUUCUCACAAUUUUAUGUUUAAUAUUAGUGGACUUUGGGCUACAUUGUUGACUUGAGCCCACUUGUUAUUUUUAGGAAUAAACAAAAGCCCAAAUAAAUUAUACAAUUCAACUAGCCCUAUAUAAUAUUCUCUAUCUCAUUUAACAAAGGUCAUUAGGUCAG
rnacentral:lncRNA from 1 species